rnacentral:tRNA from 15 species
GGAGAGAUGGCUGAGUGGUCGAAAGCGGCAGAUUGCUAAUCUGUUGUACGGUCUUGAACCGUACCGAGGGUUCGAAUCCCUCUCUCUCCG